AACGUAGGAGACGAACGUUAUCCGGAGUUACUGGGCGUAAAGGGCGUGUAGGCGGUUUGUUAAGUCUGGCGUGAAAGCUCUCGGCUAAACCGGGAGAGGUCGUUGGAUACUGGCGAACUAGAGGAUGGUAGAGGCGUGUGGAAUUCCGGGUGUAGUGGUGAAAUGCGUAGAGAUCCGGAGGAACACCAGUGGCGAAGGCGACACGCUGGGCCGUACCUGACACUAAAACGCGACAGCAUGGGGAGCGAACGGG
rnacentral:rRNA from 1 species